GGCGAGGCUGAUGAGGAGCUUGUCGAGGAGGGAGCCGAUGGGGUUAGAGAGGGAGGCGAGGGUGUGGAAGGGAUGGCAGAAGGAGUCGGCAAUGCGAUGGAAGCUGUGAGCAUGGAGGGGUGGCGGAAGGGGUUGGGGACGCGAUAGAAGCGGCGAGCAUGGUAGAUGAGGUAGGAAGCAACAGUGAUGGAAGCAACAGUGAGGUGGGUUGCGGUGGUGAGGAUGACAAGACAGGCACCAAUGAUGAUGACUGGGCUAAGCACUCACAGUGAAGGGGGAGGA
rnacentral:lncRNA from 1 species